rnacentral:lncRNA from 1 species
CUUCUGGCAAAAGAUAGCUUUAUAUUUUGAUGUUACUUUCCUUAUUUACUUUGCAGAAUUGUUAGGAGAAGCAACAAUUAUUAUGGAUCAUAAAAUACUUUUACAGUUGAACCGUGUUUCACUCCAUUGUCAGAUGAGUGAAUAGAAUAAAGGGAAAUAUAAAUUGCUUGUUGGUGGUUGAUGGUGAAAAUAAGACAGUGGUGCUUCUAGAAAAGCUGCAACAGAUGAAACGAAAACAAGAGUAUUCCAAGAUUUUUGUGUAUAAACACUGACUCUGAAAUGGAAAAAAAAAAAAAAAUCACUAAAAUGCUGCAUUCUAUAGGACAACUAAAAAAGAAUCAUUCCUAAAUAUCUUCAUCUCUGAUCUACUUUGCAGUGAAUAUUUGCCUUGCAGUUUUGUUUUAGAAAUAAGUCAUGCCUCUAAGUGUUUGUAAGACAAUGGACAAGCAGAUGGCACUGUUUCCAGCAUAUCUUAGCCAAGAUUCUACUCUGAAAAUGCAGGCAGUUCUUGUUCAACAGCCCUGAAAAAGACAUGGUACGGUUCAUCUCACUUGAUUUCAUAUCAGCUAUGCUUUUCUGACUUACAAGAACUUUGCAAUAGGAAGUUUUUUUAAUCAUUUCUGGUAAUGGCUGCCAUCAAGUUUCAAUGUUACAUCAGGUUUUAAAAAAUCUUUUAUUUUUUAAUUUUUGUGGGUACACAGUAGGUGUAUAUGUUUAUGGGGUAUACAGA